UACGAGGGGGGCGAGCGUUGUUCGGAAUUACUGGGCGUAAAGGGCGCGCAGGCGGCUCUGAAAGUCAGAUGUGAAAGCCCCGGGCUUAACCUGGGAAUUGCAUUUGAUACUCUGGAGCUUGAGUACGGGAGAGGAGAGUGGAAUUCCCAGUGUAGAGGUGAAAUUCGUAGAUAUUGGGAAGAACACCGGUGGCGAAGGCGGCUCUCUGGACCGUAACUGACGCUGAGGCGCGAAAGCGUGGGGAGCAAACAGG
rnacentral:rRNA from 1 species